UUAAGCGACUAAGCGUACACGGUGGAUGCCCUGGCAGUCAGAGGCGAUGAAGGACGUGCUAAUCUGCGAAAAGCGUCGGUAAGGUGAUAUGAACCGUUACAGCCGGCGAUGUCCGAAUGGGGAAACCCAGUGCAAUUCGUUGCACUAUCGUUAACUGAAUACAUAGGUUAACGAGGCGAACCGGGGGAACUGAAACAUCUAAGUACCCCGAGGAAAAGAAAUCAACCGAGAUUCCCCCAGUAGCGGCGAGCGAACGGGGAGCAGCCCAGAGUCUGAAUCAGCUUGUGUGUUAGUGGAACGGUCUGGAAAGUCCGACGGUACAGGGUGAUAGUCCCGUACACCAAAAUGCACAGGCUGUGAACUCGAAGAGUAGGGCGGGACACGUGGUAUCCUGUCUGAAUAUGGGGGGACCAUCCUCCAAGGCUAAAUACUCCUGACUGACCGAUAGUGAACCAGUACCGUGAGGGAAAGGCGAAAAGAACCCCGGCGAGGGGAGUGAAAAAGAACCUGAAACCGUGUACGUACAAGCAGUGGGAGCACCUUCGGGUGUGACUGCGUACCUUUUGUAUAAUGGGUCAGCGACUUAUAUUCUGUAGCAAGGUUAACCGUAUAGGGGAGCCGCAGGGAAACCGAGUCUUAACUGGGCGUUAAGUUGCAGGGUAUAGACCCGAAACCCGGUGAUCUAGCCAUGGGCAGGUUGAAGGUUGGGUAACACUAACUGGAGGACCGAACCGACUAAUGUUGAAAAAUUAGCGGAUGACUUGUGGCUGGGGGUGAAAGGCCAAUCAAACCGGGAGAUAGCUGGUUCUCCCCGAAAGCUAUUUAGGUAGCGCCUCGUGAAUUCAUCUUCGGGGGUAGAGCACUGUUUCGGCUAGGGGGUCAUCCCGACUUACCAACCCGAUGCAAACUACGAAUACCGAAGAAUGUUAUCACGGGAGACACACGGCGGGUGCUAACGUCCGUCGUGAAGAGGGAAACAACCCAGACCGCCAGCUAAGGUCCCAAAGUCAUGGUUAAGUGGGAAACGAUGUGGGAAGGCACAGACAGCCAGGAUGUUGGCUUAGAAGCAGCCAUCAUUUAAAGAAAGCGUAAUAGCUCACUGGUCGAGUCGGCCUGCGCGGAAGAUGUAACGGGGCUAAACCAUGCACCGAAGCUGCGGCAGCGACACUAUGUGUUGUUGGGUAGGGGAGCGUUCUGUAAGCCUGCGAAGGUGACCUGUGAGGGUUGCUGGAGGUAUCAGAAGUGCGAAUGCUGACAUAAGUAACGAUAAAGCGGGUGAAAAGCCCGCUCGCCGGAAGACCAAGGGUUCCUGUCCAACGUUAAUCGGGGCAGGGUGAGUCGACCCCUAAGGCGAGGCCGAAAGGCGUAGUCGAUGGGAAACAGGUUAAUAUUCCUGUACUUGGUGUUACUGCGAAGGGGGGACGGAGAAGGCUAUGUUAGCCGGGCGACGGUUGUCCCGGUUUAAGCAUGUAGGCUGAUUGUCCAGGCAAAUCCGGAUAAUCAAGGCUGAGGUGUGAUGACGAGGCACUACGGUGCUGAAGUAACAAAUGCCCUGCUUCCAGGAAAAGCCUCUAAGCAUCAGGUAACAUUAAAUCGUACCCCAAACCGACACAGGUGGUCAGGUAGAGAAUACCAAGGCGCUUGAGAGAACUCGGGUGAAGGAACUAGGCAAAAUGGUGCCGUAACUUCGGGAGAAGGCACGCUGGUGUGUAGGUGAAGUCCCUGCGGAUGGAGCUGAGACCAGUCGAAGAUACCAGCUGGCUGCAACUGUUUAUUAAAAACACAGCACUGUGCAAACACGAAAGUGGACGUAUACGGUGUGACGCCUGCCCGGUGCCGGAAGGUUAAUUGAUGGGGUUAUCCGUAAGGAGAAGCUCUUGAUCGAAGCCCCGGUAAACGGCGGCCGUAACUAUAACGGUCCUAAGGUAGCGAAAUUCCUUGUCGGGUAAGUUCCGACCUGCACGAAUGGCGUAAUGAUGGCCAGGCUGUCUCCACCCGAGACUCAGUGAAAUUGAACUCGCUGUGAAGAUGCAGUGUACCCGCGGCAAGACGGAAAGACCCCGUGAACCUUUACUAUAGCUUGACACUGAACAUUGAGCCUUGAUGUGUAGGAUAGGUGGGAGGCUUUGAAGCGUGGACGCCAGUCUGCGUGGAGCCAACCUUGAAAUACCACCCUUUAAUGUUUGAUGUUCUAACGUUGGCCCCUUACCGGGGUUGCGGACAGUGUCUGGUGGGUAGUUUGACUGGGGCGGUCUCCUCCCAAAGCGUAACGGAGGAGCACGAAGGUUAGCUAAUCCUGGUCGGACAUCAGGAGGUUAGUGCAAUGGCAUAAGCUAGCUUGACUGCGAGCGUGACGGCGCGAGCAGGUGCGAAAGCAGGUCAUAGUGAUCCGGUGGUUCUGAAUGGAAGGGCCAUCGCUCAACGGAUAAAAGGUACUCCGGGGAUAACAGGCUGAUACCGCCCAAGAGUUCAUAUCGACGGCGGUGUUUGGCACCUCGAUGUCGGCUCAUCACAUCCUGGGGCUGAAGUAGGUCCCAAGGGUAUGGCUGUUCGCCAUUUAAAGUGGUACGCGAGCUGGGUUUAGAACGUCGUGAGACAGUUCGGUCCCUAUCUGCCGUGGGCGCUGGAGAAUUGAGGGGGGCUGCUCCUAGUACGAGAGGACCGGAGUGGACGCAUCACUGGUGUUCGGGUUGUCAUGCCAAUGGCACUGCCCGGUAGCUAAAUGCGGAAGAGAUAAGUGCUGAAAGCAUCUAAGCACGAAACUUGCCCCGAGAUGAGUUCUCCCUGAGACUUUAAGUCUCCUGAAGGAACGUUGAAGACGACGACGUUGAUAGGCCGGGUGUGUAAGCGCAGCGAUGCGUUGAGCUAACCGGUACUAAUGAACCGUGAGGCUUAACCUU
rnacentral:rRNA from 1 species